rnacentral:lncRNA from 1 species
GCCACUGGCCUGCGCCACAGCCACAGCAACGAGGCAUCCAAGCCGUGUCUGCAACCCACACCACAGCUCGCGGCAACGCCGGAUCCUCAACCCACUGAGCAAGGCCAGGGAGUGAACCUGCAACCUCAUGGUUCCUAGUCGGAUUCGUUAACCACUGUGCCACAACGGGAACUCCUUAGUUCCUAUUCUUAAUGAAAACAUUUUCUGCCUGAAUUUUUUAGUGUGGCGUUAUUAAACAAUGAAAACAUCUUUUCCAUACUUUUCAAAGUCUACCAGUUCCCUAUAUGUUUUGUUGGUUUGUACUAUAAAUGAACUCUAAAUAUUUUAGGAAAAAGUUUUAUGAUAGAUAAGUUCUUUUUAAAAUUUAGCACCUAAUUUUUUUAAAAUCAAAAUGAAAAAUUUCUUGCAUAAAGGGGAACGUUUACCUUUUACUUUGUUUUUCUUCCAUGUGGUAAAUCUUUUCCUUUACAAAGGAAGUGUGCUUACAGAAUUACUGAGGUGGUUUUUAGAAAGCAGUAAUCAUAGAAACCCCGUCCGUGCUUGCCCUAAUCUGUCUCCCCAAAGCCCUUGGUCUGAAAGCCAGCCGUGGCUCUUGUCCUUAUUACAUGUGACUCGUGGAACAGGAUUGUGCUGUUCACUGUGUACACUGGCACGGUGCCCUAGCAGCCCCUGUCAUGCUGCCUCAACAUCACGAAGCUGUUUGUGAGUUUUACACCGUAUUGUAUACUAUAUUACAGUGUAUUUACUCUGUUGAUAAGUUACAGAAUAUCUGUAGUAUUUCUGCAUAAUCUAUAAAAAUACGACAUUAGAAAAUCUAGGGACUGUAAAUAUGAAAACAUGAAAAAAAGUUCUUUGGCACAAAAUCCCCUGCAAAAUAUGAAUAAUAUUUGCAUUGAGAGCCAUGAGAUUAAAUAUGCUUCAUUUUAUUUAAAAAUACUUUGGGUGAGGCUAACUGGGUAUGGCGAUUUGGUUAAUUUUAGUGCAAAAUAGGAAUAAUAUUUGCAUUAAGAGCCAUGAGAUUAAAUAUGCUUCAUUUUAUUUAAAAAUACUUUGGGCGAGGCUAACUGGGUAUGGCGAUUUGGUUAAUUUUAGUGCAAAAUAGGAAUAAUACUUGCACUGAGAGCCAUGAGAUUAAAUAUGCUUCAUUUUAUUUAAAAAUACUUUGGGCGAGGCUGACUAGGUAUGGCAAUUUGGUUAAUUUUAGUGCAAAAUAGGAAUAAUACUUGCACUGAGAGCCAUGAGAUUAAAUAUGCUUCAUUUUAUUUAAAAAUACUUUGGGCGAGGCUGACUAGGUAUGGCAAUUUGGUUAAUUUUAGUGCAAAAUAGGAAUAAUACUUGCACUGAGAGCCAUGAGAUUAAAUAUGCUUCAUUUUAUUUAAAAAUACUUUGGGCGAGGCUGACUAGGUAUGGCGAUUUGGUUAAUUUUAGUGCUUUUUUUAUUUUUAUUAUUUUUGGCUGUGCCUGUGGCACACGGAAUUUCCUGGGGUCUAACCCGCACCUCAGCAGCAACCCAAGCCUCUGCAGUGACAGCGCUGGAUCCCUGACCCGUUGUGCCAUGAGAGAGCUCCCAGGUGCUUAGUUUUAAUGACUUUUGUAGAUAAAAAUGUUAUUUUCACAAAAGUGUAUAGAUCUAAGUGGAAGAAAUAAAUCAUUGGCUGCAGUUCAAAGUCAUGAGCUUCAUUUUUGAAUCAUGCCCGCUAAUUAUGCAAAAGUUUUCAUUUAACUUGGGCUGUUAAAUGUGCAUUGUCCCUGAUGUCAGUCAGGUCUUGCCCCUUAAUCGGAAGGUUGAAUCUUGUAAGGAUAGCUUCGGAAUCCACUCAACCCUCUUCGUUUGGAAGUUUUUUAAAGAAACGGGGAAAAUUGUUUCCAGUUAACAUUGCACAUAUUAGAGUUUUUAAUAAGAGACUCAUCAAUUUUGGCAACAAAAUCACAGAGCAGCAGAAACAAAUCCUGGAGGUCAGGGCCUGGGAGAGUCCCUCUGCCUGCCUCCCUGAGCCUCUUGGGCCCAAAACCCAGUUCUCUGUCAGUUCCACCCAUUGUUUUCCUGGUUCUGCUCAGUCUGGACAUGAUAGUCCUUAAACAACAGGACAAGGUUAACCCCUGUCCUGAGUUUUCAUUUCUCCUCAGACCUGAACUAGUUCCUGACUUGUGAUAUGAUGUGCGUGUGUCACUGUCUUUGAUUUCCCUGUGCCAGGUCCACCGCAGGUCCCCCAGCUCUGGUGGAGAACUCACCCUGGGGCGGUGCCGGUGUCAUACUGGCCUCAGGGAGCUGCCUCUCAGCCAGGACGCUUUUGCCGACCUCUCCGUGUUCAUGGAGGGAUAGAACUGUUCAGCUAAAUGUGAGUGUGGUGCUCGGGAACCACGAGCAGACGUGGGGGCGGCGGGGGGGAGAGUCAGACGGGAAGGAAGAGUCACGGAAGGAGGAGGUGGAGUUUUCAAAGAGGAGUCUCCGCGUGUUCUGGGACCGGGCGAGAAAGGCCGGCCUGAACCACCAACAUCCGGUCUCAUUUGGGUCCAAGCCCAAUUCCUAUGGCUAGAGACCUGCUGCUGUUUGAGCAAGGGGUCUGUCUCGUGAGAGGCGUUGGGAGAACGGCAACUCUGGAGUCAGAACCUGGAUUCUAGUCCAGCUCCACUGCUUCCCAGCUGGGCGACUGGGGAGAGUUAGCUGUCCUCCUGUGCUUCUGCCUGCUCACCCGUAAAUGGAGUUAGUGGUAGAGACCUUCCUUACAGGACUGCUGGGAAGAUGAAACAAGAUACGGGAAAUACAGUGCUUGUCAGUUUCUGACCUGUAAUUAACCUCAGAAACAUUAGCUGCAGUGGUCCCAGAGCGGGGCUCUUAACAGGCUUUCUCACACCCAAUUGUUGAAUAUUUUAAAAUGUUGAAACUCUUUCAACCUGCGG